AGCCUUGCAUCAAAAUAAUUUUCAAGCGUUUUUCACGGGGGGAAAGAGGCAUGUUGAUACUUUUCUGGAGGCACAAUCUCCUUCUGCUUUCAGGACGUGGCCAAGAGAUCUUGUUGCCUUUCACAUCAACUGUGCUCCCAGUGACAGAGCUACUGGAGCACAGUCUAUGUUGGAAACGGUUUGUGUACUCGUCUGUCGUCCGGGGUGGUCAGAGAAGGUCAGCGGUAGAAGCUUCCACGCUACUAGCAUCCUCAGCAAAACUCAAAAAUUAAACAUCUUUAUCCACUCA